rnacentral:rRNA from 1 species
AUUGAACGCUGGCGGCAUGCUUUACGCAUGCAAGUCGAACGGUAACAGGCCUUCGGGUGCUGACGAGUGGCGAACGGGUGAGUAAUGCAUCGGAACGUGCCCAGAGGUGGGGGAUAACGCAGCGAAAGCUGUGCUAAUACCGCAUGUGAUCUGAGGAUGAAAGCGGGGGACCAGGCAGCAAUGUUUGGCCUCGCGCCUUUGGAGCGGCCGAUGUCAGAUUAGGUAGUUGGUGGGGUAAAGGCCUACCAAGCCGACGAUCUGUAGCUGGUCUGAGAGGACGACCAGCCACACUGGGACUUAGACACGGCCCAGACUCCUACGGGAGGCAGCAGUGGGGAAUUUUGGACAAUGGGCGCAAGCCUGAUCCAGCAAUGCCGCGUGCGGGAAGAAGGCCUUCGGGUUGUAAACCGCUUUUGUACGGAACGAAAAGGCUCUGGCUAAUACCUGGGGCUGAUGACGGUACCGUAAGAAUAAGCACCGGCUAACUACGUG